GCUUAACGAGGAAGCACGGAAACUGAUCGCUGAAUUGGGAAGCACAUCUAUUACUAACCUUGGCUUUAGAGACAACUGGGUCUUCUGCGGUGGAAAAGGAAUUAAGACUAAAAGUCCGUUUGAACAGCAUAUAAAGAACAACAAGGACACAAACAAGUAUGAAGGCUGGCCAGAAGUUGUUGAGAUGGAAGGUUGUAUUCCUCAGAAGCAAGACUAAACGAAAAGAAAAGGAAAGGAAAGGAGAAAGAAUAUGGAGGAAAAUGCACUUUCUGCUAUUAUUAGGGAGAGGGCUAUGAAGGAGACUGUACUGUAAAUAAUAUUUUUAAAGCAUGCAACCAUCUUGUCGGUGUGUGCAUGAGCACUGACAUUUUGAUUAUUGGGAUUAUUUAUUGCUAACACACAUAGAAUCCUUUUUGUAAAUAUGUCCAAAAAAAAAAAAAAAGAAACAUCAAGUAAUUUCUAUGCAGGUUUCUUAAAAGCACAGUAUUUAGUUUGCCUGUGGUAAAUAAUACCUUGUAGAUCAACUGGCUAAUAAAUUGCAUAUAUGGAUAAUAAACAGAUCCUGACAAAUGUUGUACUGUUCUCUUAACAGCAUAAUGUUGCUGUGAGUAUGUUACCAUUGUGGAAUAUUGUAGAUUUUAGUGAUAAGUUAAUAAAGAGCUUUAAUUUUUUUUUUUUUAUUCUCUGCCUUUUUAAUGGCAGCAUUACUUUUUAUUAAAGCUGUUUGGUUAUUCUAA